rnacentral:rRNA from 1 species
AUGAACGCUGGCGGCGUGCCUAAUCCAUGCAGGUCGAGCGAACGGACGAGAAGCUUGCUUCUCUGAUGUUAGCGGCGGACGGGUGAGUAACACGUGGAUAACCUACCUAUAAGACUGGGAUAACUUCGGGAAACCGGAGCUAAUACCGGAUGAUAUUUUGAACCGCAUGGUUCAAAAGUGAAAGACGGUCUUGCUGUCACUUAUAGAUGGAUCCGCGCUGCAUUAGCUAGUUGGUAAGGUAACGGCUUACCAAGGCAACGAUGCAUAGCCGACCUGAGAGGGUGAUCGGCCACACUGGAACUGAGACACGGUCCAGACUCCUACGGGAGGCAGCAGUAGGGAAUCUUCCGCAAUGGGCGAAAGCCUGACGGAGCAACGCCGCGUGAGUGAUGAAGGUCUUCGGAUCGUAAAACUCUGUUAUUAGGGAAGAACAUAUGUGUAAGUAACUGUGCACAUCUUGACGGUACCUAAUCAGAAAGCCACGGCUAACUACGUG